rnacentral:rRNA from 1 species
GACGGAGCAACGCCGCGUGAGCGAUGAAGGUCUUCGGAUUGUAAAGCUCUGUUGUUAGGGAAGAACAAGUACAAGAGUAACUGCUUGUACCUUGACGGUACCUAACCAGAAAGCCACGGCUAACUACGUGCCAGCAGCCGCGGUAAUACGUAGGUGGCAAGCGUUGUCCGGAAUUAUUGGGCGUAAAGCGCGCGCAGGCGGUCUUUUAAGUCUGAUGUGAAAGCCCACGGCUUAACCGUGGAGGGUCAUUGGAAACUGGAGGACUUGAGUACAGAAGAGGAGAGUGGAAUUCCACGUGUAGCGGUGAAAUGCGUAGAGAUGUGGAGGAACACCAGUGGCGAAGGCGACUCUCUGGUCUGUAACUGACGCUGAGGCGCGAAAGCGUGGGUAGCGAACAGGAUUAGAUACCCUGGUAGUCCACGCCGUAAACGAUGAGUGCUAGGUGUUAGGGGGUUUCCGCCCCUUAGUGCUGAAGUUAACGCAUUAAGCACUCCGCCUGGGGAGUACGGCCGCAAGGCUGAAACUCAAAAGAAUUGACGGGGGCCCGCACAAGCGGUGGAGCAUGUGGUUUAAUUCGAAGCAACGCGAAGAACCUUACCAGGUCUUGACAUCCUCUGACACCCCUAGAGAUAGGGCUUUCCCUUCGGGGACAGAGUGACAGGUGGUGCAUGGUUGUCGUCAGCUCGUGUCGUGAGAUGUUGGGUUAAGUCCCGCAACGAGCGCAACCCUUGAUCUUAGUUGCCAGCAUUAAGUUGGGCACUCUAAGGUGACUGCCGGUGACAAACCGGAGGAAGGUGGGGAUGACGUCAAAUCAUCAUGCCCCUUAUGACCUGGGCUACACACGUGCUACAAUGGAUGGUACAAAGGGCAGCGAAGCCGCGAGGUGAAGCAAAUCCCAUAAAACCAUUCUCAGUUCGGAUUGCAGGCUGCAACUCGCCUGCAUGAAGCCGGAAUCGCUAGUAAUCGCGGAUCAGCAUGCCGCGGUGAAUACGUUCCCGGGCCUUGUACACACCGCCCGUCACACCACGAGAGUUGGUAACACCCGAAGUCGGUGAGGUAACCUUUUGGAGCCAGCCGCCUAAGGUGGGACCAAUGAUUGGGGUGAAGUCGUAACAAGGUAGCCGU